GCCAGUUGAAAACUGUUAAGUUCAGCAGAAGGUUAACUGUAAGCCAGAGAAGUUGGGGCUUCUGCUUCAGAGGAGUCCAGAGCUCAGAUCGAGGUCUUCGAUGUCGACACUAACUUCAAUUUCGAUGCAGACUUGGACGUCUCCUUGGAAUGCAGAGAAGGAGUCAUGGAGCUGGGAGCAGGCACGGGUGGAUUUUGCUGCUCUAUUUCAGGGUCCGGUGACCGUGUAGACUCCAUAGAAGCCACGGGUCUGAACGACAUGGCGGAAUAAAGGAACUGAGGGGACCUAGGAUGAGUGGAGCAUGCGCUCCACGGGGGAAACGUCCC